rnacentral:rRNA from 1 species
UACGUAGGUGGCAAGCGUUGUCCGGAUUUACUGGGCGUAAAGGGCGCGUAGGUGGCGUCGCAAGUCAACGGUGAAAGCUCGACGCUUAACGUCGAGUCGGCCGUCGAAACUGCGAGGCUCGAGCACUGUAGAGGCUCAUGGAAUUCCGGGUGUAGCGGUGGAAUGCGUAGAGAUCCGGAAGAACACCGGUGGCGAAGGCGGUGAGCUGGGCAGUUGCUGACACUGAGGCGCGACAGCGUGGGGAGCAAACAGG